GUAGGUGAUACGGUUUGGCUGUGUCGCCACCCAAAUCUCUUCUCGAAUUUCCACAUGUUGUGGGAGGGACCUACUGGGAGGUAAGUGAAUUGUGGGGGCAGGUCUUUCCCGUGCUAUUCUCCUGAUAGUGAAUACGUCUCAUGAGAUCUGAUGGUUUUAAAAAUGGGAGUUUCCCUGUGCAAGCUCUCUUCUCUUGUUUGCCACCAUGUGAGAUGUGCUUUUCACCUUCUGCCAUGAUUGUGAGACCUCCCCAGCCACGAGGAACUCUUAAGGUCACCUGAGGCCACUCUGAUUGCUGCCUGGAAAGUGGAAGGAUUGAGUACAGCAGGAGUUCAAGGUGUGCUGACACAAGAGCCGGCCGGCAAGCAGGUCUGGACUGGAAGCAGCAUUUGUAGGAGAGGCUCACGGGGGUGGUUCCUGUUCCCUGGGCCUGUUGAAUUCCACUCCUCAGUCCUCAGAACAGAUGCAAAGUCCUGUGGAUUCUCCUGGCUAACUUCUCCUGCCACAUUCCUUUUUUGACUAUGUCUCUCAAUUCCUUCUGUGUUUUCUGUCAUCAGAGUGGUAGGUAGCAAGACUAGAGGAGAAAUUAACAAAAGUGAAAAAAUGAGGAGAUGAUGAGGGGAAAGUUUAGUAUGGCCAUUUCCUUCUUACUUUAAAUGUUGUUGUAUCUUUUUGGGGGUGGGGAGUGGAGCGGUGCCUGUCACCUGCUUCCUGUUAUAAAAUUGUACAAGACCUAAUUAGGAAGUUAAUUUACCAGUUCUCACAGCAGCAAUAAUAAAAAUAAAAAUCUGUGUAUGGUAUUUUUAUAAAGUGUUUGUAGAGUUUUCACAUAUUUUAUUUAUUAUUCCAUAAACAUCCAUUGAAUGCUUGCACUACCAGAACUCCUAUAGGCGUCACAGGGGAGUUUAUCAUUCUAGUGUUAGAGACAUUAAACACAGACACACACACUCAAAGCAGAAUGAAGUGGACACAUGACAGUGUGUGCUCCCCAGUGCUAUCAGAGAAGCAGGUGCAGUGGGCUGCCUGGCCAGCAGCCUCUGUGAGUGCCUCGCCAUGCCUGUUCAGAUAUAACUCAUCCCCUAGUGACACAGACCUUGAGUCCUGGGAGGGCAGAGACUGAUCUUGCCCAACACUCACAUGCCAGUGCCUAGCUCAGCCUGGGGCUAGAACACCUUUCUGCUUGCUCUUUAUCCAGCCCUUUGACAUCAUUCAUGCCUCCAUCCAUUCCCCUCUUGUGAAACUCUCUCCUCACUGAACUUCCUUGACACCACCUUCUCCUAGUGUUACUGGAUGGGAAGUCUUGACUGCAAGUUUUCCAGGUUCUUGGCAUAUUCAACAAAGAAUUGAAAAAAAUGCACAGACAAAGCAAUGGACGACAAAAGCAAAGACUUAUGGACACGAAAGUACACUCCACAGAGUGGGAGUAGGCUCCAGCAAGUGGCUCAAGAGCCCUGAUG
rnacentral:lncRNA from 1 species